rnacentral:rRNA from 1 species
CCCUUAGAUGUUCUGGGCUGCACGCGCGCUACACUGAAGCGUUCAACGAGUAUUCACCUUGCCCGGGAGGGUUGGGUAAUCUUUUGAAAACGCUUCGUGAUGGGGAUAGAUUAUUGCAAUUAUUAAUCUUCAACGAGGAAUUCCUAGUAAGCGCGAGUCAUCAGCUCGUGCUGAUUACGUCCCUGCCCUUUGUACACACCGCCCGUCGCUACUACCGAUUGAAUGGUUUAGUGAGAUCUCGGGAUUGGAGACGUUGCGCCGCAAGGCACAUCGUCCUCGAGAACUUGAUCAAACUUGAUCAUUUAGAGGAAGUAAAAGUCGUAACA